AUAAGUUAAUGAUCCAAUUUUCUUAUCACUAGGAGAUAAACUGACUGCAGAAGAGGUGAUCAGACAUGCCACAGUGAACCUCCAUCAUGUAAAGGCCAUCUCUUCACACAGGAAACAGCUGAUGCACAGAAAGAGGUGCUUGCAUCGCCAGUAGCAGUAACACCACCAGCAGCUGGUCACGCAACGGCAGCAGCAGCAGCAGAAAUAGAAGCAGUUGGAUUUGCUAUUUCCGAAUAUACUGUUUCCGAAUAUAAUAAUUUUCCACAGGUACUUUCUAUUAUUAUAAUAAGUACUUUCUAUCAGAGUAUCCCAUAUUUUUCAUAUAUACUUCCGUAAACAGCUGUAUCUGGGUUAGAUUUAAGCUUAAGGUGAGUUAUGUAUGGCGAGAUUUCUAACACAAAGCGAAGGUUUGGACAAAAUGGGACCACACGGAGUCUGAAUUGUAGUAUUUGCAGAAAGGUCAAAUUGAGGUGGCUGCUUCAGGUUUCCAGAAUUUU